UAAACAGAAAAUGGAUGGGUCCUACCUAAUUUCCUUUAGUUCGUUUGCAACAUUUUCACUAAACAAAGGCGUUUUCUAACAAACAAAAUCCUAACCUUUUGAAGAGGAGAAUUAUUCAAUGUUUGAAGAAUAAAUAAUUAUAUUAAAUAGUAAAUUUACAUAAAUAACAUAAUCUGCAAAGUCCUUGUAAAAUUAAGUCCCUACUCUAAAGAUACCAUAAGGCUGAAUUGUGAUUGGCGGACCGGAUUUACAAACCGAAUAACAGAGCCGACAUGAAGUUUAAGAUAUGGGAUGAUGAAUUAUUUAUAGAGUUAUGUCGAUAUGGGAGUGAUGAGGCCAUUGAUUCCUAUUUGUCUAAAAUUGUAAUAAGGGCUUGGUUUCGUACGGACGAAUUUCAUCGCAAUUUGUUACAUAUUGCAGCAACUUAUGGUCGGACUAAAAUUUGUAAGAGACUAUUGGGAAAAAUCCAUUAUACGUACAAGGAUUUCUAUAAAUGGACUCCUCUUCACAGAGCUAUUUACUAUGGUAAUUUGACAACAGCACUACUGCUUCAAAGCCAGGGGAUCUAUGAUCAUCAGAGAGAUAUGGAAGGUUAUACACCACUCGAUCUUCUGGCUCUUGAUAGUAUUAAUACUUCGUCGAAACCUACUUUAUUUGUAUGGGGUAAAAAUCUAUCUGGGCUGGGAUAUAAAUUUGGAACAAUAUCAUACCACCCUGAAGUUCAUCAAUUUUACAAUGAAAAUUUUAUUUGCCCUAAAAAAAUACAAAUAAGUGGGUAUUGUUCUGGUGUUCUCGAUUCCAAGGGGUCAUUGUUUAUUGCUGGUGCUAGUUCGGAUGGGAUGCUAGGAAAAGGACAAUUUCAUAGAUUCAUAGAUUUCUACGCGAGCCUGUGAAGCUGUUACCAUCGGAGGAAAUAAUUGAUUUUGCUUUUGGAAGGACUCAUUCCAUCUUAUUGAUCAAAAGUAGCAAAGAAAACACAUCUGUUUAUGUUACCGGUUCCAAUUUUUAUAAGCAGUUAGGUAUGGAUAUUUAUUCCUCAAUUUAUAGGCCGAGACUACUGUCCACAACAUUCAACAAUGUCAUAAUUGGAGUUGGAGCAUCUAGUUAUUUCUCUUGUUGCUGGUCUAAAUGUGCACUAUAUGGAUGGGGCCUAAACUUAGGCCAAAUGGGUUUUGAAUUUAUUACAAAUAAUCAUUUUAUAGAAUCUCCCAGGCUUGUAUAUACUCUAAAUAAUAAUAUGAAAAUAAGACAGGUUUAUACUUCGGACAGUAGUAUUGCGAUAUUGACUGAAAAUGAUCAAUUGAUUUUUCUUAAGGAUGAGAAGAUCAAGCCUUUACAGUUUCCCUUUAAAUCAAUUAAAAAAGUUCAAAUCAUGGAAGAAUAUUGUUUUUCAACUCAAAGGCAUAUAAUUCCCUUAAAAAUGUAUAUAUUGUCUGGAGAAGAAACAUUAUACUCAUGGAGUGCAAAGUUUGGAUUGCUAAGAUAUCAAGCACUCAGAAAUCAUAUAAAUAUUCCAGUACAUGAUUUCUUUGUUUCAAAGGAAAACCUAUUUGUCGUGUCUUCGGAUACUCAUUUUCUCUACAAAUCGUCAAAUCGUGAUAUCCAUUCAGUUGAAAAAACUGUAGACAAAUCAGGAAAUGAGUUUUUUAACAGAUUCAUUCAAGUGAAUAGGAUUCGAAGGGCUCAUAGGGUACAAUCUAUUGUGGGUGAUACUGAAGAAAAAAUGUUUUUUUUUGAGUUGUGCACAUUUCUGUCAUGAGAAAGAAGUAUCUUAUAGCAAACGAAUAAUAUCCAAAAUAAAUUCAAGCGAUCAUGAUCAUCUCAAAGAUGGUUUCAUUAGAGUUGGCCCGAGGGUCUUUCAUAUACAUACAGUUAUUUUAUAUCAAGUAAAUCCUAGUCUCGCCUCUCAAAUCCAAGGUAAUCCCUUAUCAACCAUUACAAUAGAGCCAUUACCCGAUCAAAAGGUUGUAGAAUCCUUUUUUGAACUAACAGCUAAUCUAUUUUACCGAAAUUGGAGAACUAUAAAAAAUCUAAAAAUAAAAUUUCCACAAUUGAUAAUAAAAUACGGAUUUUUCCCGAGUAAGACAAAAAAUCGUACAAAAUAUUUUACUACAAUUUCCUGGAUCAAACCUGAUGCUUAUUUUAUUUCUUCUGACGGUAUGAAAUUUCCUAUACACCGAGUUAUACUUUCUCAAAAGUCUAAGUAUUUUAGUACAAUGUUUAGAGAUGGAGCCUGGUCAAAGAGGAAAAUGGUGAGGCUACAGUACGAUUACAAGUGUUUGAUAGUCAUGCUUGAAUAUAUAUAUAGUGAUACUAUACCAGAAAAGUAUUUGCAAAGGGUAGAAGAUGUUGUUCAUGUAUUACAUUGUAGCAAAAAGUAUUUCAUACCAGGAUUAACAUUAAUCUGUAAACAACCUUUGAGGAAAUUUCUAAAUGUAUAUAAUGCAAUUGAAAUAUUAAAAAAUGCCAUUGAAUUCUCUUUCGAGCAUCUUCGUGAAUCUACUAUGACUUUUAUUUGUUCUAAUAUAGGGCAUUUUUACGAAAGAAGGAUUUUCCGAUCGCUUGAUGGAAACGAGAUAGAGACAUUAAGUACGUACUAUAGAAAUAUGUAUUUUUCAAAAGAAAGACAACAAAGUCGUAACAUAAAAUCGUUUCAAGGCACUAUGUCCCUCAACGACGUCUGUCAAAGGUUCAUUUUUGUUCCACCUCAAACGGAUAAUCAAUUAGAUACAACAUCCUCUGAAAUGAGGAUAAAGGAACAAUUUAUUUCUGGAUUGAAUUCAGAUAUAAAUAAUAAAAAAAAAAGCCCCAGCAAUGACAAAAGAUGAAAGUCUUUCUGAUAACAAUUCAACUAAAAAUGAGUCGGAGAAAAUAAAAAUACAGCCUUCACGUAGGUUGCGAAAGUCAUCAUGGAAACCCUUAAAUAUUACUAUCAAAUUUAGAAAUGAACUUCGCACUAAGAAGAUUUAUGAUUCACAUGACCUAUUACGACUCUUAACAUUAAACUCCCUUGAACAGUGUUUUCAAGUAAAACUAUCUCACUCUUCAAAACCAGAUUUAAUUUCUAUAUCGCACACAAAAAAGAGUGGGUACUUGAUAAAAGUGUAGAAAGGGAACCAAGAAGAAUGUCUUACGACUAUAUCUUCGACAAAUAUCAACAGUUGAUUUAUGAUGAUCCUCCUACUGCCUUUCUACAUAAUUCGGGUAAAGGAAAAUCCCACAAAACAUGGUCUCAAAUAAAGCUACCAUCUAGACCUAAGACAUAUCAUUCUUCUAAAUCCUUCAAGAAAAAGUUAAGUUCUAAGAUAGAUUUGGAAUGUGAAUCAUUUCAUUGGCCCAUGUGUUCUGAUGAUACCUUUACAUACAAUCAAAAAUUCAUUUUUGAUCCGUCUGAAAAUGAUAAGUCGAGUAAAAAUAAAUCAAAACAAUUAAAAAGAUUUUCAUCGAAUAGAACAUACUACGGAUUAACAGAAGAACAAAAUUAUUCAGAUAGUUCAAGUACAAGUAAUUCUGAAGAAAGCUCACUAAUGUCCUUGACUCGAAAUUGUCCUGACGUGAAAGGGAAACGAUUCAUUCCACGCUCUCAAUCAGUAAAAAAAUCUAAUACGAUGAGUCAAAAUUCAGUCAACUUAAAAAAAACCAUUAAACUUUAAUAAAAUAUUAAGAACUGAAAAUUCGAAUACUUCUCAUCAAGUCAAUGAGUUGUUUUUCUCUAAUCUCAGCUCCCAUAAAGACGUAUGAUAUUUUAGUUAAAAUUAUCUACCUAAAAAAAUGUUAGAGGCUGAGGUGUGGUAGAAGGAUUUAUUAUCAAAAUUAUGUGUAUUCUUCAACAUAUUAUUUAUUCUAUUUGUAAAUUAGUCUGAUUAAUCCCUAUGUUUAGUCAGUAGCAUCUCUUGGAAGAACCCACACCAACUUUCAGCCAAAUCGGUCCAUUUCUUUCUGGUUGACAUUCAUUUGAAUAAAGUAAGUGGAGUGAUUUGGACGAAACCUAAUUUAGUGCGAUUAUUAAACAUUACUUUAUGAAAAUGCUUUUUUGUGUCUAAUCGUGGGUGUUUUUCUUGUAGCUCGGUUUUCAAACGGUCCAAUAACGAUAACUGUCUUCGAAGAGUUGUUACUAACUAAGUAUAACCUCGAUAUGCGGCAUUAGGGUCAUCUCUUGGACUUUGCACGAACUUUUCAAACUUGUAUUGAAGAGGAAAAAAGCAUAUCUGUGAUGAAUGAAAAGAAGAGGAUGAAAUUACCGCCACGCUAUAGAAACAGCCUUCUUCGUGUGGUCCGUGAGCCUAAACUAAUUUAAUCCUGAUUUUUUUUUACAAUAUUAAUUUAAUCACAAAUGGUUCACAUGACUUUUAUGUAGGCAAUAACAUUGAUCUUAUUUUUUAACCACUCAAAUGAAAGAUAUAUUGUAAAAGUUAUUCAGAAAUAUCAAGAAUUUUCAAAAGUUAUUUUGUAUUCUACCUAAAUAAAUUAAAAAUAUCCAUAAA
rnacentral:lncRNA from 1 species